GAUUUAUAGUAACUAUCGAACUUCUAGCCAUACUAUGAAAAUGCCCUGGCCUGACAAAAACAUUCUUCUCAAACCAGUUCAUAGCAAUAAGAUUUUCUUUUGUUUUCACUUAUUAGGAAAACAUUUCACUGUUGCCUGGCUUCUUGUUUGGUCAUUUGAUGCUGGAUUUAGUAUUCAUUUCGCAUUUUCAUGUGCGCUAAAAUUUUCCUUUUCGUGAUACACUUUCAGGGAUACUGCAGGUCAAGAGAGAUUUAGGAGUCUCAUUCCCAGCUACAUUAGGGACUCCUCUGUUGCUGUCAUUGUGUAUGAUGUUGCAAGCAGGCAGUCCUUUUUAAACACUUCAAAGUGGAUUGAGGAGGUUCGAACUGAGAGGGGCAGUGAUGUUAUUAUUGUCCUUGUUGGUAACAAAACUGAUCUUGUUGAGAAAAGG